rnacentral:rRNA from 1 species
UACGGAGGGGGCUAGCGUUGUUCGGAAUUACUGGGCGUAAAGCGCACGUAGGCGGCUUUGUAAGUUAGAGGUGAAAGCCUGGAGCUUAACUCCAGAAUUGCCUUUAAGACUGCAUCGCUUAAAUCCGAGAGAGGUGAGUGGAAUUCCGAGUGUAGAGGUGAAAUUCGUAGAUAUUCGGAAGAACACCAGUGGCGAAGGCGGCUCACUGGCUCGGUAUUGACGCUGAGGUGCGAAAGCGUGGGGAGCGAUCCGG